AAAUAAUUAUUUAUUUUGGUUAAUGUUAUAAAUUUUUUAAAAUAAUAAUAAUAGUAAAUUAUUUUAGUUAAAAAUUAAAAAAUAAAUUGAAUGAAAGAAAAUUAGUAAAUUAAUUGAAUAUUGAAAUAUUUAUUAAAUUUAUAUAAAAGUAAAUUUAAAUGAUUGUAUUUUGUGUAUCAAAGAAUAUUUAUUAUAAUUUAAGUAAUAUAAUAAUCUCGAAAUUUAAAGAGUUAAUUAAUUAAUUUAGUUAUUAUAGCAUAAAUAUUAAUAAUAAUUAAUUAGAAAUGAAAUGUUAAUCGAUUUAAAUUAUAUCUAGUUAUCUUAGAAAUAAAUUUAAUUUAGUUAAUUAUCUAAAUAUAUUUUUUUUGAAAAUAAUUUAUUUAAUUAAUAAUUUUUAAGGGGAUAAGCUUUUAAAAAUUUUUAAAUAAAAGUUUUUAAAUAUUAUUAAAAUUAAUAGAAGUGUAAUUAUUUUUUAAUUAAAAAUUUUUAUAAAUUAUUUUUGUAAGUUUUAUUUUAUAAUUUAAAAUUAAUAUUUUAUAAGAUUAAAAAUUUUAAUUUUUAAAAUUUUUUAAUAAUGAUAUUAUUAGUAUUAUAAAAAAAAAAAUAAAAUAAUUUAUUUACGAUAAGAUAAAUUUUAUUAAUUCGGCAAAUAUAUAUUCGCCUGUUUAUCAAAAACAUGUCUUUUUGAAAAAUAAUUUAAAGUUUGGCCUGCCCCCUGAAUUAUUUUAAAGGGCCGCAGUAUUUAAUUGUGCAAAGGUAGCAUAAUAAUUAGUCUUUUAAUUGAGGACUGGAAUGAACGGUUAAACGAAAUAUAGUCUAUCUAAAAUUUACCGGGAGAAUUUAAUUUUCAGUAAAAAAUCUGAAAUAACUUUAAAAGACAAGAAGACCCUAUAGAUUUUUAUAAUUAUUUUAUAAAAUUAUAUUAUUAAUUAUUUUAUUGGGGUGAUAAAGAAAUUUGUUAAACUUUUUUGUUAAUUAGACAAUAAUUUUUGAAUAUUUAAAUGAUUUAUUAAUAAUAAAUAUCAGAAAAAAUACCUUAGGGAUAACAGCGUAAUUAUAAUUUUAAGUUCUUAUUGAAAUUAUAGAUUGCGACCUCGAUGUUGGAUUAAAAUUUAAUUUAAAUGCAGAAAUUUAAUAUUUAGGUCUGUUCGACCUUUAAAAUUUUACAUGAUCUGAGUUCAAACCGGUGUAAGCCAGGUUGGUUUUUAUCUUUAAUAAAGAGAAAUAAUUUAGUACGAAAGGAUUAAUUAUUUAAAAUAAUUUUUUAAGAAGAAUAUCAUUAAAAAA
rnacentral:rRNA from 1 species